AUUUGAUUCAUAUCCUCGAGAAACUUUGGUUCCAAACACUUCAAAAUUUGAAUACCAUCUUGAUGCUGAAGAUGAAAAUGAACAUCUAUUAGAGCACGGCAUUCAGGAUGAAAAAUAAAUGUGUUUAUUUGAAAAAUAAAUGUCCCCUCUCACGCGUCAUAAAAGAGAAUUUGCAUCAGCUUCAAUUGGAUUCACUCAUCUAGACCAAAAUUAGGCCAAUGUUUCAUUCGAAAGCUGUUAAGGCUAAUGCAUUCCUAGUGAAGAAUUUGAAUAAAAUACUCAAGAGAAUCGUGAUCGACAGCUUUCUAGUAACGAAUAAAAUUUGACGCUCUAUCAGUCGUGUGUUGAAGCCUUCGAUGAAAAAUAUGGACAAAUUGAUACUCACAAACAUGAAGCAAAUUUGGAGACUCACUCUCAAGUCCCUGUUCCUCGCACAAAAAAACGGCUGAAGCGCGUCAAAAAGUGGCUGGGAAUUAAAUCGAAGAAAAAAAUAUCAAAAUUACGUAGUCACUACACAUAGCGUGCUCGGGAGGAACUGCAGACGAUUAGUGACCACAGUUAUAAAACAAUUUGUGUUGCUAUUGGUCAGCCGGCCAUUCCGCAAGUUCAGGAAGAAACUAUAAACGAUUUAAGUGAAACUCACGACAACUGUUCAGUUAAGGGAGUAAUAAUGGAUAAGCAAUAGAACCUAAGUGUUUGCGGUUCAAUUGCAGGAUCUGAUGGUCACGGAAACCGUGAGAAAUCAAAAGGAAUCAUGACGACUGUUUUGGCUUGGCUCGGCCUUGCGUCGUCUCCGGGAAUGAGACGUUAAAAUUCUAGCCUGGAUCAUCAAAGAGAGGAACAAAUAUUUGACUUUGAGUCAUCAAGCUCGUCGUCUUCGUGUAACAUAAGAUUGUCUGAUUGUGACCCGCAGGUGGCGCCUGCAGUAAAGUAAAACUUGAACAGUUGCUAGACAUUAAAGCCAAGUAUUGAGUAAAGGAAUUCAAUGAACAUGGCAUUUUCAAGUGGGAAUUAUAAUUCGCUGAGUGUAGGGGGCGAAAACUUGGAUGGAAUGAAAAAAUCAGGAGUAAAUGGUAGCAUAGUUGCGUCAAUGGCUAUUGGGGAACAAAGUCCUCUAUUUUCAGUAUAGCGUGGAAACAAACAAGCGGACGCAAAUCCUCAAAAAUGCCCCUCCGCGAUAGGAAUUUCGAGCCACAAAUGUCCAAACGCUGGAUGCCAAAUAUUGCACCUAGAAAGUUUUUAAAAGAGACGAGCAGCAUUCGAGGAGAGAAUGCAAACGCGACAAGGCAGUAGGGGCCCGUGCGUGCCUUGCAGAGACUUGAACAUCCAGAGACGAGUAAGAUUCUCUAAAACACAGAGAUUAAACGGAGAUAAAGAGUACUAGCAGAGCAAAGACUUCGCCUCGUGUGGGGACUAUAAGUAAAAAUUGAUGGCAAUUGGAACGAAAAAGCCGAAUUUUCUCGCGAUUUAGAAAGAUGCACCAGAUAGGUUCUGAAAUGGCAAGAUUGUCAGUUGAUCGCUCUAAAACAAAAUGAACUUCUAAGGAGUUAGUCAACAAGGACGCGAAUUUAUUACUUCACAGAAACGCCGUCAGACGGAAAAUUUAUUUGUAGUUGAUAUAGAUUGACGAACAAAAUAAAAAUUAUUCACACAACUUAGAUAAUAUAUUUUGUGCUUUGAAAAUGUAGUGCAACGUUUUUUAUUCUCGUCAUCAAAUACAUCUAUCCCAAGGAA
rnacentral:lncRNA from 1 species